GCUCUCAAUUUGGCAGCGCAUCUACUAAAACUGGAGCAAUACAGAGAAGAUUAGUAUGGCCCCUGAGCAAGGAUGACAUGCAAAUUUGUGAAGCAUUGGGAAAAAAA